UACGGAGGGGGCUAGCGUUGUUCGGAAUUACUGGGCGUAAAGCGCACGUAGGCGGAUCAGAAAGUCGGAGGUGAAAUCCCAGGGCUCAACCUUGGAACUGCCUUUGAAACUCCUGAUCUUGAGGUCGAGAGAGGGGAGUGGAAUUCCGAGUGUAGAGGUGAAAUUCGUAGAUAUUCGGAGGAACACCAGUGGCGAAGGCGGCCUACUGGCUCGAUACUGACGCUGAGGUGCGAAAGCGUGGGGAGCAAACAGG
rnacentral:rRNA from 1 species